CGCAUGCGUGAACCAGAAAAGUGCGUUUUAGAAUGAUUACUGCUGGUCAGUGGAGGGACAGAUUAUUCGUCUCUACACAACUGUUGUUUUAAUCCCCUGGGCGAGGAGAUUUAGCAAAGAAAAACCCCUGCUUUUAAACCCAGCAGCCAUAUUGUAUGGAAAAAACGACGGGAGGACUCCGCUUUUGUGAAAAAGUCGUUUUCUCCCGCACCUCCGUGAAGACUUUUGCGGAGUUUAAUUGCGGUUCUUGCCGGCGGUGGGUUUCCUUCGGACAGCUCGCUUUGCCAGCCGGUUCAGCAAUUCAGAGACUGGGACCUUUUUUCUUUUUGAAGGGAUUUUUCACAGAAUUGUGGUAAUUUCUUUUAGUUUUAAAGGUGUUUAAGGAACCUUGACAAACAUGAAGGACCGAUUGGAGCAACUCAAAGCGACGUGUGAUCAAGAUGACGACGAGGUGGAGAUUUGUGUGGACAAUGCAGCCUUCAUGGACGAAUUCUUCCUUCAGAUUGAGGACAUCAGGAACAGUAUCGAUAAAAUUGAUGAGAAUGUGUCUGAAGUCAAAAAGAUUUUCUCUGUCAUCCUGUCGGCUCCCACAUCAGAUCAGAAAACACAGGAUGACUUGGAGGCAAUCACCAAUGACAUAAAGAAGAUGGCUAACAAUGCAAGAAACAAACUCAAGACCAUCGAGAGGAAUUUGGAGUCAGAGGAGCAGGAGAGGGUGUCAGCUGACAUGCGGAUACGUAAAUCACAGCACGCAGUCCUGUCCAGGAAGUUUGUGGAGGUAAUGACAAAGUAUAAUGAAGCCCAGGUGGACUUCAGAGAGCGGAGUAAAGGACGUAUCAAGAGACAACUAGAGAUCACUGGAAAAGCAACAACAGAUGAUGAACUGGAUGAGAUGUUGGAGAGCGGCAACGCUGCUGUGUUUACUGCAGGGAUCGUGGACGCUGGGAUCUCUAAACAAGCUCUGAGUGAGAUUGAAGCCAGGCACAAAGACAUUGUCCGUCUGGAGAGCAGCAUCAAGGAGCUGCACGAUAUGUUUGUAGACAUCGCCAUGCUGGUGGAGAGCCAGGGUGACAUAGUUGACAACAUAGAGCAGAAUGUAUCCAAGUCACUGGACCAUAUAGUUGUGGCUAAGGAACAGACCAAAAAAGCCAUUAGGCACCAGGCUAAAGCGCGCAAGAACAUGAUCAUAACUGUUGUAGUCUGUGCUGUGGAUGUUCUCAUCUUCCUCACCGCCAUCCUCCCCCCUCGACACCAUCACUGGACUGCUGCUCUUAUCAUCAGUUAUUUAUCAUCCGCUCCAUCCUAUUCUCCGUCAGCCGGCGCGCCAAAGAGAAACCUUGAUGACUCCGUACGGAUAAAAUGUUGGCACGACAAAUACCUGCAACGCAUUUGCUCGCUGGAUAAAACAAGAAGAGCUCGGGAAUGUUCUUAAAACGUUGUAUCCAACCAGAACCGUCCGUACUGGUGUGUUAGGGUUUGUUUGGACGGUUUGAGGACGCUCUGCUGCAAAUGAGGAAACGAGAGAUUUGGGAAAUAACUGAUCAUAACGUCACUUAACAUUUCAUUGUGUAACAUUCGAUGCCAAAGAAUCAGCCCAGAAGCAUUUAGGGAAAUUAACUUUAAAGUCCGGUAAGUGGGACCCGUGAGAGGCCUUGUAGAUCUCCUCCUCCUUCUCCUGAUUCUUUACUUUUUAUGAGCCACGACACAUUCUGUGAUUGAAAAGCUAGCUACUGUAUAUUUACUGUGUUUUUAUUGUGUUGGUUUCGGGAAAUGUUUUAGCACUUUUCACAUUUCACUAUGUCCUUCUUUCUGAGAUUAGGUUCAGAUGGGAAUAAUAGCGUUAUCAAUUUUAGUGUUGUUUGUAUCCAGCCCUGAAUAGUUCUCAGUUCUUUCAACUUGAAGAGGAUCGGUGUGCUCACUUAUGAGUCUUCAGUUUGUAGAGCUCAGUGGUUUAUUUAAGUACAAAGGAGGUCCUCGUGAAUUCAAACACAAGUGCAGGUUAGAUGAGCAGAAAGAUAAAAAGCACCGUCGGGUACAUUCACAUGCAUCCAUUGCUUUAGAGACAUGCCUAAAUAUUUGUUCUGCGUCUUUGCUUACUUGUUACAAACCACCUCGACCGUCUACACUUAGAGACACGAUUGACUUUAUUGUUAAAAUGCUGUAAAGACGUAAUGCCAAAGGAGAGAGUGGUAACGGCAGCUACUUCAAUCUCCGGGCCAGAACAGCCCUAUAAGUAGGUAAUAGUAAUAUAUUUAUGAUACUUUUUAAUGACUUUGGUCAUUUAGGGAAGUUGAACCCACAGGGUGAAGUGUGAAGGGACACUGUAAAUAACCAAGAUGUCUCUUACUGGUGAGUCUUUACUAGUGCGAUAUACAUUUCCUGGCAUGUUUUUAAUCUCGUUAUAUUCCUACUGUAAAUGUUUACCUCAGUUGCCAGUUCAUUGGGUACAACUAUCUGAAACUAAUGCUUUAACACCACAGCGCAGCAAUAAAUCCUACCUACGGGCAGUGGAGGAAUGCUGGGUAAACGUUAUGGAUCUACUGGCUGCAAACGUCGCAGCUUAAGAGAUCACAAUUCAACAGCACCAUCAAGUGCGGCCUUCUAAUAGACAGUGGAGUCAAAUCGACACAUCUAAAACACUCCCAACCAUGAGUGUAUGUACCUUUUGUCGAUUUUAUCUUGCCACGGUUUGUUAAACUGAAAGGAUUCAUCGCUUGUCCGUGGUAUUGGACUGCAUUAGUUUUGGGGUUUCUGAUGAAUUGGCUUUAAUUCUGUUUCUGAACCAUUUAAGUAAGUGCUUUGUUCUUGUUGGAGGGAACCACAGUGCACAUGUUGUCACCCACAAGCUUUCAUUUGGCAGUUAAAGGUGACGCCAGCUGUUUAAACAAAGACCGCAUCAGAAACGUUACUCCCCAUCCUUGAGAGACGGGCGUUGACAUGUAGGAGUUUUGCAGACGUCACCUUUAGAAUUUCCAGUGCAUUAUGGUGGCCGCUGUCGCUGAGGGAAGUUUCUGUGAAACCGGAGCAUGAAUGGUUCCUUUUUUAAUUCUGGUUGAGCAGCUCGGCCUUUUCGACCACACGCUGCUCCUCGUCCAUUGACUGCUCAGUGCUAAUGCUCCUUUCUAUUCAAGUGUUCGCACACCACCAAGAGCAGAAGGAGAAACCGGAGCAGUGGCACACUGUACAGAACUACGGUGCCACAGAUUUGAAAUGAAAAUUAAAGAUUUUAUGUUUUUUAAUGACUUUGUUGACUAUGGUGUUUACUUUCCAAGUUAUGCGUGUCCCGUUUGUGGAUGAUUGAAAGUAAAAGAGUAACUGAUAUGGUAAAAUGUCUGACUGCAUGUUAUUUUGUGUGUGUGUGUGUGUGUUUCAACGGGACGGUUGUAGUUGUCAGCAGUUUGUUGAUACAGCAUGUUAACCAAUGUGUUGCAAAGUGCACUUUUUAAAGCCUGGUUAACAUGUUUCAAGGUAAGUUUGUCACCUUUUCUCUCUCUUUUUACACACACACACACACACACACACACACCCUGAUAUCUGUAACUCUUUGUUCUCCUUUCAAUCGGUCAUUUCCUCAAAUUGGUGUAUCCAUUUUUGGGAAUAAUUGAAUUGUGUUAGAUGAUGUCUGACUGGCUGUUUUUAUUCAUCAAAUCAACAGAAAAAGAUGAUGAUUACUUUAUGCUGUGCCAUCAUUGGAAUCGUUGGAUUCUCCUAUCUCUACAGCUUCUUCUCAUAAAAGGGUUCUUAUGCAGUGUUUCUAUGGGAGUGUCAAAGAAAAAAAAGGAAAGUUUCCUAAAGUGCUUCCCCGUGUCUACCCUUACUGUUACUUCAAUCUAUUUUAAAAUCUCGUAAGUAUUUAAAAAGGAAUUGAAACACAUCUGUCCUGUGCACUUGACCUUUUGUUAAUCUUUUUGAAUAAUUUUCUUACUGUAUGAAGUGUUUGAAAACAUGUUAUAAAUGUAUAGCUUUUUCUCUGUCUGCCUGUUCAUUAUCCAGAUGGCUUAACAUCAGGCGUAACAUCGUUUUUGCACCAUUCUGGUCGGUUGUGGUCGACCGCCUCCCGGUGGUGCUUAGAGAGGAUUGGUUUAUUGUCGGGAAGUUAUUUCGAAAGAUUCAUUUAAAAAAAAAAAAUUUUCUUGUAACAUUUCUUGUAUAUGUUGUUGGCUCCAAAGUCUAUUCAUGUUCAUGCACAAUUGUGCGCAGGUCGAAAAUAUAAUUUUAAGUGUUAUUUUCUGACAUGUGUUGUUAUAAUUUGAAUAAAUUCUGUGUGGUUUUGUUGGGUGUGAUCUGUCUGUAUGCACUGAUGGUCUUUUCCGUAUCCGCGGCUUCCACCGGCUCACUGGCUGCGUGUCAAGCCUGUAAAGCCUGUUAUGUAAUAAAUGAUUUCUGUGCGUUAUUGUA